UGCGUAGGUGGUCGGGUAAGUCUGAUGUGAAAUCUCUGGGCUCAACCCAGAAAUGGCAUUGGAUACUAUUCGGCUGGAGGGUUGGGAGGGGGGACUGGAAUUCUCGGUGUAGCAGUGAAAUGCGUAGAUAUCGAGAGGAACACCAGUGGCGAAGGCGAGUCCCUGGACAACUCCUGACACUAAGGCACGAAAGCUGGGAGCAAACA
rnacentral:rRNA from 1 species